AGAGUUUGAUCCUGGCUCAGGAUGAACGCUAGCUACAGGCUUAACACAUGCAAGUCGAGGGGCAGCAUGGUCUUAGCUUGCUAAGACUGAUGGCGACCGGCGCACGGGUGAGUAACACGUAUCCAACCUGCCGUCUACUCUUGGACAGCCUUCUGAAAGGAAGAUUAAUACAAGAUGGCAUCAUGAGUCCGCAUGUUCACAUGAUUAAAGGUAUUCCGGUAGACGAUGGGGAUGCGUUCCAUUAGAUAGUAGGCGGGGUAACGGCCCACCUAGUCUUCGAUGGAUAGGGGUUCUGAGAGGAAGGUCCCCCACAUUGGAACUGAGACACGGUCCAAACUCCUACGGGAGGCAGCAGUGAGGAAUAUUGGUCAAUGGGCGAGAGCCUGAACCAGCCAAGUAGCGUGAAGGAUGACUGCCCUAUGGGUUGUAAACUUCUUUUAUAUGGGAAUAAAGUUUUCCACGUGUGGAAUUUUGUAUGUACCAUAUGAAUAAGGAUCGGCUAACUCCGUGCCAGCAGCCGCGGUAAUACGGAGGAUCCGAGCGUUAUCCGGAUUUAUUGGGUUUAAAGGGAGCGUAGAUGGAUGUUUAAGUCAGUUGUGAAAGUUUGCGGCUCAACCGUAAAAUUGCAGUUGAUACUGGAUAUCUUGAGUGCAGUUGAGGCAGGCGGAAUUCGUGGUGUAGCGGUGAAAUGCUUAGAUAUCACGAAGAACUCCGAUUGCGAAGGCAGCCUGCUGGACUGUAACUGACGCUGAUGCUCGAAAGUGUGGGUAUCAAACAGGAUUAGAUACCCUGGUAGUCCACACAGUAAACGAUGAAUACUCGCUGUUUGCGAUAUACAGUAAGCGGCCAAGCGAAAGCGUUAAGUAUUCCACCUGGGGAGUACGCCGGCAACGGUGAAACUCAAAGGAAUUGACGGGGGCCCGCACAAGCGGAGGAACAUGUGGUUUAA
rnacentral:rRNA from 1 species